AGUUGACAACCUCUCUGAUACGGCAGUGGAAGCCUCGAGACGAUUUACAUCGGCUCCCUAGUCAUACUCAAUAUGUCGUUUUCGUACAAAACGGUAACAUGUCUCUCAAUUAUCCAUGUCUCAUACUAGCGGG
rnacentral:ribozyme from 1 species